rnacentral:snoRNA from 1 species
UCGGGCACAAUGAGGAAUCAUGUUCUCUCUAUAAAAUAUUGAGGUCUUAAGGCCGGUGACUGCACAUCUUUAAGUCCUUUUCAUUCUGAGUGCCUC